UACGGGGUGAGGCGAGCGUUGUCCGAAUCACUGGGCGUAAAGGGUGCGUAGGCGGGUCUUUAAGUCAGGGGUGAAAUCCUGGAGCUCAACUCCAGAACUGCCUUUGAUACUGAGGAUCUUGAGUUCGGGAGAGGUGAGUGGAACUGCGAGUGUAGAGGUGAAAUUCGUAGAUAUUCGCAAGAACACCAGUGGCGAAGGCGGCUCACUGGCCCGAUACUGACGCUGAGGCACGAAAGCGUGGGGAGCAAACAGG
rnacentral:rRNA from 1 species